rnacentral:rRNA from 1 species
CCUACGGGUGGCAGCAGUGGGGGAUAUUGCACAAUGGGGGGAACCCUGAUGCAGCGACGCCGCGUGAGCGAAGAAGUACCUCGGUAUGUAAAGCUCUAUCAGCAGGGAAGAAAAUGACGGUACCUGACUAAUAAGCCCCGGCUAAAUACGUGCCAGCAGCCGCGGUAAUACGUAUGGGGCAAGCGUUAUCCGGAUUUACUGGGUGUAAAGGGAGCGCAGGCGGCCUGCCAAGUCUGGUGUGAAAACCCGGGGCUCAACCCCGGGCCUGCAUUGGAAACUGGCGGGCUGGAGUGUCGGAGGGGCAGGCGGAAUUCCUAGUGUAGCGGUGAAAUGCGUAGAUAUUAGGAGGAACACCAGUGGCGAAGGCGGCCUGCUGGACGAUGACUGACGCUGAGGCUCGAAAGCGUGGGGAGCAAACAGGAUUAGAUACCCUUGUAGUC